CUACAACUUCCAUAGGAGGCAGUGAAACUACCCGUGCAGAAGUUCGAACAGAGGCUACAACUCCAACAGAGAAUAAUGAGACCCAGGGAAGCAGAGCCACAGCAGGUACCACCCAUGCAGCUGUAAGUGUGACCGAGGCAUCUGGAAGUUCCAGCACCGAAACCACAGCUUCCACGGGAGUCAGUGAAGCCAUGGUCACAGGAAACAAUGCAG